UUUUCGGCUGGAAUGGGGAAUUUGUGAGGUAGGCCGGAAGUGGUGUUGCGGAGGGAAGUGUGGGGAGAGCAGAGGCGCAGCUCUGCUGGAGAGACCUGAGGCUUGCAGCGCUGGGCCCGGCCGGGUCGCUGCGGCUGGGCUGGAGGUGAGGCGAAAGAAGGGCAUCCUCUGAUGGGAGUGGACCGGAGUCCGCUAAAGCGAAGCAUUCCAGGGUCAAGGAUGCAUUCCAGGAAAGUUCUAUAAAAAUAUACCAUCAACUCCAACCUGAUAUUUGACCUAGCCAUGGAAAACCUCAUUGGCUCCUCACUGGAUCAGACCAUAAAAAUGAUCCAGGAAUGAAAAUCUAAGAUAAAUUCCCACCACUUCAAGAUGUUCUUAUACAAGUCAACAGUCUAGCAGAUCAGCCAGUCUCUUUCAUCAUCAAGCAGACAUACUCAAGGUACCAACACAGCAAAGGCACAAAAUGUCUCUAUAUCAGUAUUUUUCAUGGUAUAUGUGAGACCCAUUAGUGAGGCAUGAAAUCAAUUCUGUGAGUCACAAUGAACAUUUGUCUAAAAAACAAAAUAAAAUGUAAAAUACCAAAGUGUUUUGCAUGAAUCCUUUGCCUGAAUUGUGCACAUUGCAAGGAAUGCUGAGGUCAAUUUCAAUAUGCGAGAGGGGUAUUUGAUGGAGGAGAUAUGAUGAAUAGAAUGUAUAUUGGCUAAGAAAUGGUUUUCAGUCAUUGAUUCCUGGGUGUCUUGCUUGAUUUUCAUAAUAGCACGGUUAAUGUUCUAUAGUCAAGUUUUAUAUUACAAUUACUUGCAACUAGUUGUGAAGUCUGAAAUAUUCGAUUCAAUUGCAAACUUUGAGUGUAGUUUUUGAAAAGAUGUUAUUUAGACUGUAUAUUUUUUUCUUCUUUUUUGAGUUAGUGCCAAUUAUAACAUUUUAAUCAAACUGGAACAAAUUGCUAUUAAAAUGGAUCAUUUCUUUAUUAAAAGAAAGAGGAAUAGUGAAGUGAAAUAUACAGAAGCAUGUUCAAGUUCAUCUG
rnacentral:lncRNA from 1 species